rnacentral:rRNA from 1 species
GAUGAACGCUGGCGGCGUGCCUAAUACAUGCAAGUCGAGCGAACGGACGAGAAGCUUGCUUCUCUGAUGUUAGCGGCGGACGGGUGAGUAACACGUGGAUAACCUACCUAUAAGACUGGGAUAACUUCGGGAAACCGGAGCUAAUACCGGAUAAUAUUUUGAACCGCAUGGUUCAAAAGUGAAAGACGGUCUUGCUGUCUCGUAUAGAUGGAUCCGCGCUGCAUUAGCUAGUUGGUAAGGUAACGGCUUACCAAGGCAACGAUGCAUAGCCGACCUGAGAGGGUGAGCGGCCACACUGGAACUGAGACACGGUCCAGACUCCUACGGGAGGCAGCAGUAGGGAAUCUUCCGCAAUGGGCGAAAGCCUGACGGAGCAACGCCGCGUGAGUGAUGAAGGUCUUCGGAUCGUAAAACUCUGUUAUUAGGGAAGAACAUAUGUGUAAGUAACUGUGCACAUCUUGGCGGUACCUAAUCAGAAAGCCACGGCUAACUACGUG